AUUGAACGCUGGCGGCAUGCCUUACACAUGCAAGUCGAACGGUAACAGGUCUUCGGAUGCUGACGAGUGGCGAACGGGUGAGUAAUACAUCGGAACGUGCCCGAGAGUGGGGGAUAACGAAGCGAAAGCUUUGCUAAUACCGCAUACGAUCUCAGGAUGAAAGCAGGGGACCGCAAGGCCUUGCGCUCACGGAGCGGCCGAUGGUAGAUUAGGUAGUUGGUGGGAUAAAAGCUUACCAAGCCGACGAUCUGUAGCUGGUCUGAGAGGACGACCAGCCACACUGGGACUGAGACACGGCCCAGACUCCUACGGGAGGCAGCAGUGGGGAAUUUUGGACAAUGGGCGCAAGCCUGAUCCAGCCAUGCCGCGUGCAGGAUGAAGGCCUUCGGGUUGUAAACUGCUUUUGUACGGAACGAAAAGACUCUGGUUAAUACCUGGGGUCCAUGACGGUACCGUAAGAAUAAGCACCGGCUAACUACGUG
rnacentral:rRNA from 1 species